UACGUAGGGGGCAAGCGUUGUCCGGAAUCAUUGGGCGUAAAGAGCGUGUAGGCGGCUCGGUAAGUCCGCUGUGAAAGUCCAGGGCUCAACCCUGGAAAGCCGGUGGAAACUGUCGAGCUCGAGUCCGGAAGAGGCGAGUGGAAUUCCUGGUGUAGCGGUGAAAUGCGCAGAUAUCAGGAGGAACACCAGUGGCGAAGGCGGUUCUCUGGGCCUGUACUGACGCUGAGGAGCGAAAGCGUGGGGAGCGAACAGG
rnacentral:rRNA from 1 species